GUGGUGUUAGCUCAAUGGUAGAGCGUCUCCCUGUGGAGGAGAAGGUUGCGGGUUCAAAUCCCGUACAUCACC
rnacentral:tRNA from 1 species